rfam:Ornithorhynchus anatinus chromosome X1, whole genome shotgun sequence.
AGCAGUGUGGCUCAGUGGAAAGAGCACGGGUUUUGGAGUCCAAGAUCAUGGGUUCGAAUCCCCGCUCUGCCA